rnacentral:RNase_P_RNA from 1 species
UUGGAAAAAGAUGCAAUCGCUGCUGCAUAAAACCUUGUUUUUGCAGGAGAGGAAAGUCUGGACUUCAGAGAAAAAGGUGCCAGCGAAAUGCUGGGGGCCGUAAGGCUACGGAAAGUGUAACAGAAAAUAGACCGCUAACGAGUCAUCGUUAGACAGGAUGAAAAAGCUGAGCUAGUGGCUUAGCCCCACAUGCAGAAAUGCUAGGGAGAUACAAACCCCACCUGAAGCAAGAAAAAAAGCUCGAACUGUUUUUCGCAAGGGAGCUUUUUUAAGGUCGCUUGAGAGUUUUAGCAAUAAAACUCCUAGAUGAAUGAUUGCAGCCUGCAACAUGCAGGUGACAGAAUCCGGCUUACUCUUUUUCCGAGAUU